rnacentral:rRNA from 1 species
AUCCUGGUCAGGACGAACGCUGGCGGCGUGCCUAACACAUGCAAGUCGAACGGAGAAUUUCAAUAAGCUUGCUUAGCGAAAUUUUUAGUGGCGGACGGGUGAGUAACGCGUGGGUAACCUACCCAUAAACCCGGGACAACCCUUGGAAACGAGGGCUAAUACCGGAUAAUCUUAAGAAGUGGCAUCACUUUUUAAGAAAAGGUGGCCUCUGAAUAUGCUACCGAUUAUGGAUGGACCCGCGUCUGAUUAGCUAGUUGGUGGGGUAAAGGCCUACCAAGGCGACGAUCAGUAGCCGGCCUGAGAGGGUGAACGGCCACACUGGGACUGAGACACGGCCCAGACUCCUACGGGAGGCAGCAGUGGGGAAUCUUCCGCAAUGGACGAAAGUCUGACGGAGCAACGCCGCGUGUAUGAUGAAGGUCUUCGGAUUGUAAAGUACUGUCUUUGGGGAAGAAUGACUGAUUUGAAAAUAUUGAGUCAGUAUGACGGUACCCAAGGAGGAAGCCCCGGCUAGCUACGUGCCAGCAGCCGCGGUAAUACGUAGGGGGCAAGCGUUGUCCGGAUUAUUGGGCGUAAGGCGCGUAGGCGGAUAGUUAA